rnacentral:tRNA from 1 species
GGGCCCUUAGUUAAAUGGGAUAACGGUAGCUUUGCAAGCUUCAGUUAGGAGUUCGAUUCUCCUAGGGUCCACCA